CUUAUUUAGAAGGCGGGACUUAGUCCGCCAUAUUACGAGUGCACCGUCUUUCAUUGUCUAAUAAUUCAACGGCCCGUCGUCAAUUAUUCCUUAUAUAAUUACUUAUUUUACCGUUUACUAUCAUCUGUUGUUCAGAAAAAAAAUUAAGUAGGUGCUCAAAUCCCAAGUUUGCGAUCGGAGAUCGUCAGGCUGAAGGACGGAUCACUCACCUGAGCUGGGAACCGGAUCUGCGUCACCGUGAGGACGAGCCUGAGAACACAAGCUCCGGUUUCGACUUUAUGCCAAACGUCUGUUCGAAACGACAUGAGGUGUAACUAUCAAACCUCCAGAAUCCGCUCAGACAUUCUUUGAAGAAGACGCGUUCCCCUGGUUUGAUCACGUCUGGGUUAUCGCGGCCACAGAGAACAAUCACUAUGAGAUAUCGAUGGGAUCGUUAUCGCCGCAGCAGCCCGUGUCUCCGUCCCUGUGCCCUGGAUCCUCCCAUGUCUGGAAAAGAUGAGAAAUAAACUGUCCAUUCAUUCAGCAUUUCUGAGCAUGUCAUUCAUAUGGAUGC